UGCUGUAAUGAAAUGUCCUAAUAAUGAAAGC
rnacentral:piRNA from 1 species